GGUAAAGCAGAAAAUUAAAUCAGAACAUAUCAGUUUUAGGGAAAAAUAAGUAAAACAGUGAGUCUUAAAGAAGGCCAAGUUGCAAGAAAAAGAGCUCCAAAAGAUCUCAAGAAAAAAGCAAAAUGUUGAAAGAGUAUUGAACUCAAAGCAGUAAGUAUGUGAGAGUAUUGAAUUGGGAGUUAGGGAUGAUCGUGCUUAAGGUGUGUUAAGAGUGUUGAAAGGCAGCCCCUUUUUAUAGUGCAGAAAACAAGUAAGAAAGGUAAGGAAAUAUCAUUGAAAUCAAUCUCCCUUUAGUU
rnacentral:lncRNA from 1 species